ensembl:lncRNA
GCCGUCUAGUGAGAGCAAGACUGACAUCAUUGCGCGCGUGCCCGGGAGAUUGUGAAGUGUGGAGUGACCCUUGAUGAUGCCAACCUGCGUGUGCGCCGGAAGUCCGCUUCCCCUCCCAGAUAAGGGCCAGGGAAGGACACGGCUCGCGGACACCCCAGGAGGAGGGGGGAAGACUGGGACCUCGUCGGCAGCGUGGGUCGUCCCGGCAGCCACCGUCAGUGCGGUUGCCCCAGGACUGGCUCUGCGGAGGUCAGCAGUACUCGAGGGGCAGUUUUUCCUUGGUGAGAUGAUGCUCCUGCCUAGGGAAGCCCUCUUUUCCCCCAGGAGGCGACUGCCGACACUUAAGAGGGCAUCCAUCCUCUUAAGCAUGCUGUCGCUUGGGGUGGUUUCAGUCCCUUGUCAAAGAUGCUGACCAACCAGGUCAGUAGUUCCUGGAGUCCACGGUAACUGAAGAAGAAGGUGGCUCAGAAGAGAGAGAAAAGGCAAAUGGAGUUGGUUAGGUCAGUAACUGGACCCUCUACACUCUGGAGAGAUUUGAGCAGUUUGUUAAAGUGCUGAACAUAGACCUCUCCUGUAACCUAGCCAUUCCACACCUGCUCUUUGCCCAACAGGAAAGAGUAUGUGCCCUUAAAAAGAGCUGUGCUAAUGGCCCAAACUGGAAAUGAUCCACAUGUCCCUCAAUAGGUCAGUCAGUAAACCAAUCGUGAUAGAUCCAUGGAAUGAAAUAUCUCCCAGGGAUAAAAAAGCGCAAGUUUGAUAUAUCCAACAGCAUGUAUAAUCCCAUGAACAUGCUAAGUGGAAGGUAUCAGUAUAGAAAAUACAAACGAUAUGACAGAAAGUAUAUGACCAGUGGUUGCUGGGGAAUGGAUGGGUCUGGGAGGGAAGGAAGGGUUACAAAGAGACACAGGAAAUUUUGCAGGGGUUUGGAUAUUAUCUUGAUUGAGGUGAUGAUUUCACUUGUAUCUACAUUGUCAAGUUUGUCAAAUUAGAUGAACUUGUAAUUACUCUUAUGUCAAUCAUAUGUCAAUGUAAAGUUCUUUAAAACUUCCAUUCUUACUUCCUUAGGGGAAAGGUCUCAAGACAAUUCUAAGUGCGAAUCCUUCAAAACUUUCCCCUAGAGAAUGUAUAUCUGUAUGUAAUAGGAAUUACAUUAUACAUGUUGUUAAAUACAUAUACAUAUUGUUCUGCAUCUCCUUUAAAAUUCUUUUAUGUAAAUUUUCAUCAGUGUCAAUAUUUACAGGUAUAGGAUUCUGUAGAAGGAAUGUACCAUAAUUUAAUCAUUUCUCUGCUUCACAACAUUUAAGUUGAAUGCUGCACAUUCACAUUUCGAAUUUUUAAACAUAAUACCAAUAUACUCCAUGCAGGUUGUACUAUUUUAAUUUCUCUGAGCAUCUUUUAAUAUUUUAAUUUUUUAGUUGUAGAUGGACACAGUACCUUUUUAUUUAUUUAUUUUUAAUGUGGUGCUGAGUAUUGAACCCAGAACCUCACACAUGCUAGGCGAGCGCUGUACCACUGAGCCACAACCCCAGCCCUCUGAGUAUCUUUUUAUUUAUUAGCCACUUGGAUUUCUGUAAAUUGCCUCUUAAUAUCAUUUGCCCAUUUCCUUUCCUUCUUAUUUCUCAUAUAAGAAGGUCUUCAAAAUAUGAGAUAUCUAGGUCUGAGGACAUUUUUGUCCUUUUGAGAAUAAACUACAAUUUUUCAAGUAGAAGGAUACUGGU